rnacentral:tRNA from 1 species
GGCAUCGUAGCAAAGUGGUUAAUGCGUGAGUUUCUCCCCCUCGGGUGCGCAGGUUCGAGUCCUGCCGAUGUCG